rnacentral:rRNA from 1 species
ACUACGGGUGGCAGCAGUGGGGGAUAUUGGACAAUGGGGGAAACCCUGAUCCAGCGACGCCGCGUGAGUGAAGAAGUAUUUCGGUAUGUAAAGCUCUAUCAGCAGGGAAGAAAGAAAUGACGGUACCUGAGUAAGAAGCCCCGGCUAACUACGUGCCAGCAGCCGCGGUAAUACGUAGGGGGCAAGCGUUAUCCGGAAUUACUGGGUGUAAAGGGAGCGUAGACGGUAAUGCAAGUCUGGAGUGAAAGGCGGGGCCCCAACCCCCGGACUGCUCUGGAAACUGUGUAACUGGAGUGCAGGAGAGGCAGGCGGAAUUCCUAGUGUAGCGGUGAAAUGCGUAGAUAUUAGGAGGAACACCAGUGGCGAAGGCGGCCUGCUGGACUGUAACUGACGUUGAGGCUCGAAAGCGUGGGGAGCAAACAGGAUUAGAUACCCGGGUAGUC